UUUUUUUCAUUUCGUCAUCAUCAUCAUCAUCAUUUUGUUUGUUUUUCUCCUUUCUCAUUCUUCUCUUUUUUUUCUCGCCGUUUAUCUCGAUUUACAACGACAAACAAACGAAAACAUUUAAAGCCAUUCAUCAUUCGAAAAAUAACUACAACAACGACGACGACGACAACAACAAUUAAUAACAAAGUGAAACGAAUCGUAACAAUUCAAUAUCGCAUAUUUAAUAAUUUUGUUUCAAUUUAAAAUUUUUUUUUCUCUUCAUAAAUUGAUUUGUGGUGUUCAACAUUCCAUAGGCAAAAAAAGUCAUGUCGAAAUAGUUUCCUCUUCCUCAUUCAUCAUUUUUUUCUGGGCAAAAAAAAAUUUUCACGACACAAAAUCUAGUUCAACACAAGUGUAAUAAAACAGCAGUUUGUUGUAAAUUUUUUUUCUCCUUCCUCUUUCAAUCGUUUCGUUUCUCUUUUCCUGAAUAAAAUAAAACAAUAUCUGGAAAAAAUAUCCGAAUAUUAUCUUUUGAUUCAGCAACAACAACAACAACAACAAUUUGAAUUAAUCUUUGAGGAAAAAUGAAAUAAAAUCCAUUUAUUCAAUGUGGGUGAAACAUGAAAGACGAAUUAAAGAGAAAGAAAAUGUUUUGAGAGAGAAAAACAAAACAAAAAAAAAUUCAAAUUACUGCUAUAUUGGCCACGGACUUUUGUUGGACUGAAGAAAAAA